rnacentral:rRNA from 1 species
GGGGGGGGUGGGGGGCGGGCCUAGGACAUGCAGGUCGAGCGGCUGGACGGGGAGGUUGCUCCGCUUACGGUAGGGGCGGGCGGGUGAGUAACAGGUGGAUGACCGCCCGAUAGGGCUGGGGUAACGUCGGGGGCCCGGCGCUAGUACCGGCUAAUAUAGUGACCCUCGUGGUUCAUUAGGUCAAGCGGUUUUUGCUGUGCCUGAUUGCUGGUUGCGCGCCGCAUUAGCUAGUUGGUAAGGUAACGGCUUACCAAGGCAACGAUGCGUAGCCGACCUGAGAGGGUGAUCGGCCACACUGGAACUGAGACACGGUCCAGACUCCUACGGGAGGCAGCAGUAGGGAAUCUUCCGCAAUGGGCGAAAGCCUGACGGAGCAACGCCGCGUGAGUGAUGAAGGUCUUCGGAUCGUAAAACUCUGUUAGUAGGGAAGAACAAAUGUGUAAGUAACUAUGCACGUCUUGACGGUACCUAAUCAGAAAGCAACGGCUAACUACGUG